rnacentral:misc_RNA from 1 species
CAAGCCUCUGAGGGGGGUAGAAGAGAGUGUUUCUUUGAUUAGAUUAUGCGAUUGAAAGUUUUCUGGUUUUCCUCGUAGGGCUUGUAGCUCAGUCGGUUAGAGCGCGCGCUUGAUAAGCGUGAGGUCGGAGGUUCAAGUCCUCCCAGGCCCACCAGUUACACUAUGCAGCAAAUUGCUCUGAUCACUGAAAGUUGCUCUGAAUGAGAAUGUUAAAAUCUAGUGAAAUGUUCCCAAUUCUUUAUUGAAUAAUCCCUUAAAGAAAAUUUAUGCUUAAAUAAAUUCUUCUAAGAGCAUUCAGAGCCUCCAUAGGAACUCAAAGCCUUCCAUAGAAACGAAGUUUUCGCGAGAAUUUUUUCACUCCUCUUCAGUAAGGGGAA